rnacentral:antisense_RNA from 2 species
UGUAAUGGCGGAUCGCGUGGGGAGACCCUUGUGGUCUGCCGGCUCCGUUUGCCCGGUUCGUCAACCCCACGCGAUCCUCCACCCUU